GUUCUGUGAUCUUUAAUCCUCUCAGAAAUCUUAGGACCUAAGAACAUAAUUUUCAUAGACCCCUAAAUGCAGCCUUGAUUGGCAAUUAGGGAGAUAAUAAUUAACCAAAGAGAUCUUUAGGAAGACUCAUGUUUAGUCCCAAGUGUUUAUAUUUUCAAGGCAAAUUUUUAAAAAUAAAGUCCUGGAAACUCAAAUAUGAAAGCUGAGAAUCACUUUUAUUGUUUGGGACAUAGAAGUUCAUGGAAACCCAUUGUCAGAGGCUUCACAGACCUCCAAGGUCAUAAAUAACUCAGGAGGAUCACCAUGAUGAUAAAGCAGAUUGCUUUUUAAAGGAUAAAGUUAGGAUAAAAUCAUAUUUACAUUUCCUAGGAGGAUAUGCACUCAUGUUCAUCCCUUAAGUAAAACUGCUGAUGGUGCUGGAAAUUAUCUAGUGAAAUGAGGCCACUAACAUCUGCAUAGUCCUUGAUUUCAACUUGCAAUAGAACUAUCUUGCAAAGUGACAAAGAAGAGAUGGAUACACCAUUAAAAUAAAGUUUAGUUUAAUUUUAAAGAGAAUUAGAUAUUACCAAUAAGCAAAAGAAUAAAAACACUGCUGAUUAUGGCUAGUAUUAUUAAUUUGUCACUUAGGUAGUAUCAACAGUGCUAGUAACUCUGUGCUGUUUGGACUUCCUGAGGUGUGAAAGGUCAGCUGGGCAAAGAACCAACAUCCACAGACCUAAACAAGGGUUGCACUGGACUGAAUUGACAAGCUGGUCCUCUUCUCUGGUGACUGUAUUC